rnacentral:rRNA from 1 species
GUUGUAUAGUCAAGUAAUUAAGUGCAUGUGGUGGAUGCCUUGGCAGUCAGAGGCGAUGAAAGACGUGAUAGCCUGCGAAAAGCUCCGGGGAGGCGGCAAAUAUCCUUUGAUCCGGAGAUGUCUGAAUGGGGGAACCCACCUACUUUAAGGUAGGUAUUGCAACAUGAAUACAUAGUGUUGCAAGGCGAACGAGGGGAAGUGAAACAUCUCAGUACCCUUAGGAAAAGAAAUCAAUUGAGAUUCCCUCAGUAGCGGCGAGCGAACGGGGAUCAGCCCAUUAAGUUAUGUGUGUUUUAGUGGAACGCUCUGGGAAGUGCGAACGUAGAGGGUGAUAUUCCCGUACACGAAAGGGCACACAUAAUGAUGACGAGUAGGGCGAGGCACGUGAAACCUUGUCUGAAUAUGGGGGGACCAUCCUCCAAGGCUAAAUACUCCUGACUGACCGAUAGUGAACCAGUACCGUGAGGGAAAGGCGAAAAGAACCCCUGUGAGGGGAGUGAAAUAGAUCCUGAAACCGCAUGCAUACAAGCAGUGGGAGCACCUUCGUGGUGUGACUGCGUACCUUUUGUAUAAUGGGUCAGCGACUUAUAUUCAGUAGCGAGGUUAACCGUAUAGGGGAGCCGUAGAGAAAUCGAGUCUUAAUAGGGCGUUUAGUUGCUGGGUAUAGACCCGAAACCAGGCGAUCUAUCCAUGAGCAGGUUGAAGGUUGGGUAACACUAACUGGAGGACCGAACCCACUGUCGUUGAAAAGCCAGGGGAUGACUUGUGGAUAGGGGUGAAAGGCUAAUCAAGCCUGGUGAUAGCUGGUUCUCCCCGAAAGCUAUUUAGGUAGCGCCUCGGACGAAUACCAUAGGGGGUAGAGCACUGUUUCGGCUAGGGGGUCAUCCCGACUUACCAAACCGAUGCAAACUCCGAAUACCUAUGAGUACUAUCCGGGAGACAGACUGCGGGUGCUAACGUCCGUAGUCAAGAGGAAAACAAUC